AGGAAAGCAGGGGAUCGCAAGACCUUGCGCUUUUGGAGCGGCCGAUGUCUGAUUAGCUAGUUGGUGAGGUAAAGGCUUACCAAGGCUUCGAUCAGUAGCUGGUCUGAGAGGACGACCAGCCACACUGGGACUGAGACACGGCCCAGACUCCUACGGGAGGCAGCAGUGGGGAAUUUUGGACAAUGGGGGAAACCCUGAUCCAGCCAUGCCGCGUGAGUGAAGAAGGCCUUCGGGUUGUAAAGCUCUUUCAGCCGGAACGAAACGGUCACGGCUAAUACCCGUGAUCACUGACGGUACCGGAAGAAGAAGCACCGGCUAACUACGUGCCAGCAGCCGCGGUAAUACGUAGGGUGCGAGCGUUAAUCGGAAUUACUGGGCGUAAAGCGUGCGCAGGCGGUUUUGUAAGUCAGAUGUGAAAUCCCCGGGCUCAACCUGGGAACUGCGUUUGAAACUACAAAGCU
rnacentral:rRNA from 1 species